AUUGAACGCUGGCGGCAGGCCUAACACAUGCAAGUCGAGCGAGCGGAGGACGGGUGAGUAAUGUAUGGGGAUCUGCCCGAUAGAGGGGGAUAACUACUGGAAACGGUGGAUAAUACCGCAUACUAUCGGAUGAACCCAUAUGGGAUUAGGUAGCUGGUGAGGUAAAGGCUCACCAAGCCGACGAUCUCUAGCUGGUCUGAGAGGAUGACCAGCCACACUGGGACUGAGCCACGGCCCAGACUCCUACGGGAGGCAGCAGUGGGGAAUAUUGCGCAAUGGGUGCAACCCUGUCGCAGUCAUGCCGCGUGAAUGAAGAAGGCCUUCGGGUUUUAAAGUUCUUUCAGCGGGGAGGCGUUACCCGCAGAAGAAGCACCGGCUAACUCCGUGCCAACAGCCACGGUAGUAC
rnacentral:rRNA from 1 species